rnacentral:misc_RNA from 1 species
UCGUAUCCGUUGUUACGUCAGAG